rnacentral:rRNA from 1 species
GGCCGCGGUAUCCUGACCGUGCGAAGGUAGCAUAAUAGUUAGUCUUUUAAUUGGAGGCUGGAAUGAAAGGUCGGACAAAGGAUCAACUGUCUUGGUAAUAAUAAUUUAAUUUAACUUUCGGGUGAAAAGGCCCGGUUUCUCUAGGGGGACGACAAGACCCUAUAAAACUUUACAUUGGAUUAAUAUGGCCAAAAUUAUUUGUGAGACUGGKUAUAUUAAUUGUAUUUGUUUUGUUGGGGCGACAAGAGUAUAAUUAAUUAACUGCUCUUUAAUUAAACAAUUAUUUUUGAAACAUAAUGGAUCCUUUAAUAAAGAUUAGAAGAAAAAGUUACUUUAGGGAUAACAGCGUUAUUUUUUUUGAGAGUUCUUAUCGACAAAAUAGAUUGCGACCUCGAUGUUGAAUUAAAAUUUUCUUGUAGAGCAGCAACUACAAAGAAAGGUCUGNNCGACCUUUAAA